GAUGAACGCUGGCGGCGUGCCUAAUACAUGCAAGUCGAGCGAACAGACGAGGAGCUUGCUCCUCUGACGUUAGCGGCGGACGGGUGAGUAACACGUGGAUAACCUACCUAUAAGACUGGGAUAACUUCGGGAAACCGGAGCUAAUACCGGAUAAUAUAUUGAACCGCAUGGUUCAAUAGUGAAAGACGGUUUUGCUGUCACUUAUAGAUGGAUCCGCGCCGCAUUAGCUAGUUGGUAAGGUAACGGCUUACCAAGGCAACGAUGCGUAGCCGACCUGAGAGGGUGAUCGGCCACACUGGAACUGAGACACGGUCCAGACUCCUACGGGGGGCAGCAGUAGGGAAUCUUCCGCAAUGGGCGAAAGCCUGACGGAGCAACGCCGCGUGAGUGAUGAAGGUCUUCGGAUCGUAAAACUCUGUUAUUAGGGAAGAACAAAUGUGUAAGUAACUAUGCACGUCUUGACGGUACCUAAUCAGAAAGCCACGGCUAACUACG
rnacentral:rRNA from 1 species